rnacentral:siRNA from 1 species
UCCAACCAAAGUGGUGUAGUUGU